UCUAGUUUGCCAUAAGGUAGUGUUUACAACUAGAAUAUUGAGAUUUCUAAGCUGUUAAAUAUGUUCCCAGUAGAUAAUCUAGGUGCUCAUCAUUCUCCAUCUCUUCCAUGUGUUGCCCUUGACUUCUGGUGAGAAUAGAAUUUCAGCCAGUAAGAGCAGCCCCCUCCCACUUCCUCUUUCCAAUUACAGGUUUUACUAUGAACAGCAUACCCUGGAGGGAGGAAAGCAGUUCACACUCACAGGAGGUGGAGAUCCACUGAUAAACAUGUAUCUGUUGUUCAAAUCAACAGAGACAAAAUAUGAAUAGCUUGAAUGAGCCAAGGUUUGCUUUUUGAAAAACCCCCUACGUCAGCACACAGUAGAAUGAGGAAAUGACACUGUUGAUCAAGGAAGAAGAACAGCCACAAUUAGAAAAUGAAAGUGAGAGUUAUUUCUUCAUGUGAGAAGGUGCAUUUGGAAAGACCCAUUGGAUGAAUGAUGUUUUAAGAAAGAGAGAGAAAAAGCCAUGUUAUCAGCAAAGCUCAGCAAGAAAGAAGCACAUGGUGGCCCCGGCACCCCAGUCAUCCUCUGACUAGCACAGCCUUUCUUGAAUCCAGAGCUAGAUUCCAAAUAAACUUCAGACUGCCUCUCCCCAUUCUCUCCCGAGGUCAGCCACCGAGGCUAUCUGGGUCCCCCCACCAAAACUACUGAACAUCAGUUGCAAUCAGAAACUUGAGCCAACCAGCAGAUUGAGCUGCAGAUGGGCUAUGGCAGCCUGGCUGACUUCAGUCUCGAGUCAUCCGAUUGUACCAGACAUUCUAUUAUGGCCUCGUCUGGUGUGAUCCUUCCUGGACAACCCUGGAUGUUUUAAAGCUACGUGAGAAGAUAACUAAGGAGGUAACUGUGUGUACCCAUAUGAGGAAGGUGGUUGAUUGUCUAUGAGAAGACCGGUGACUCUUCCUGGAGGGCUGACCAAGAUUGACCUGACUGUGUGAGUUUCCAUUCAUGGCCAAAAGGUUGAACAUCUGUAUGGGUCUUCCUGCUCAUUGAUGACAUCUAGCUACAGAACGCUCUCAUCUUUCCCCAAUCCAGCUUUUCAGCCUUCUAACCCUGAUGACCUCCCACCUGCCAUGAACCUAGUGUGGAAGUGAUAUCCUGCAAUCCCGGAAAAAUCUCCUGGUGUCUCUGUGAA